GAUGAACGCUGGCGGCGUGCCUAAUACAUGCAAGUCGAGCGAACGGACGAGAAGCUUGCUUCUCUGAUGUUAGCGGCGGACGGGUGAGUAACACGUGGAUAACCUACCUAUAAGACUGGGAUAACUUCGGGAAACCGUAGCUAAUACCGGAUAAUAUUUUGAACCGCAUGGUUCAAAAGUGAAAGACGGUUUUGCUGUCACUUAUAGAUGGAUCCGCGCUGCAUUAGCUAGUUGGUAAGGUAACGGCUUACCAAGGCAACGAUGCAUAGCCGACCUGAGAGGGUGAUCGGCCACACUGGAACUGAGACACGGUCCAGACUCCUACGGGAGGCAGCAGUAGGGAAUCUUCCGCAAUGGGCGAAAGCCUGACGGAGCAACGCCGCGUGAGUGAUGAAGGUCUUCGGAUCGUAAAACUCCGUUAUUAGGGAAGAACAAAUGUGUAAGUAACUAUGCACAUCUUGACGGUACCUAAUCAGAAAGCCACGGCUAACUACGUG
rnacentral:rRNA from 1 species